rnacentral:rRNA from 1 species
UACGUAGGGCGCAAGCGUUAUCCGGAAUUAUUGGGCGUAAAGGGCUCGUAGGCGGCCAACUAAGUCAGACGUGAAAUCCCUCGGCUUAACCGGGGAACUGCGUCUGAUACUGGAUGGCUUGAAUCCGGGAGAGGGAUGCGGAAUUCCACGUGUAGCGGUGAAAUGCGUAGAGAUGUGGAGGAACACCGAUGGCGAAGGCAGCCCCCUGGGCUAACACUGACGCUCAUGCACGAAAGCGUGGGGAGCAAACAGG